rnacentral:tRNA from 1 species
GGGAUCGUAGUUCAACUGGUUAGAGCACCGCCCUGUCACGGCGGAAGUUGCGGGUUCGAACCCCGUCGGUCCCG